AUGAAUCUCUGAACAAGACAGCUCAUGACACGGUUUAUUGGAGCCUUCCUCAAAACCCAUCCAAGAGAGCUUGUUCCUGAAGCAUGGUGCUAAGUCCAUAUGCAGCAGAUGGAGCUCAUGAGAAAAGAGUUGCUCUUGUGAAGACCAAAGCUUGGUGAGGUGUCAGAUCCCCGGCGAUGGAAAGCAGUCAACUCAUGGGUAGUAAAAAGAAUGUAUUGACAACACUAUAGGUUUGAAAAGGAAAGUUUUAUUAGAUGGAAAGAACAGUGCAGAAGACCGCAGCAGAGGACCUCAGCAAGAGAGAACUAAAAAUGGUCAAUUACAAAGCACAACAUAAGACUGGAACAUUGGAGUUAAGUAGCAGAGAUCAAAAGAGGAGAUUGCAGAUGGAGGUGUUGUAUGUGACUGUUUUACAUGGAUUCUUCGCUCUGGUAGCAGAUGUUGAAGAAGCUCUAUGAAUGUCCUGUCUCUAUGUCCCAGUUUGUCAGUUUCAAAUACUCAUGUAUCUGAUUGUCAAUGCUGGAGAGCUGGGGCCAGGGCAGUAGUUGAUGAAUAUCACCUGACUGUCUCCUGCAGAAAAAGCAUUCCCAGAAGCACGGAGAAGUGAGGAGAAAAGGCAAUGCACCUGGAGCUGGAGACCAAGGCCCUGUUCUUACUGAUGGCCCUUGGAGCAGAUAUUUGAAUUGGAGAGAUAAAACCGUGGUUUUUGGGGUGUUAAUUUUGGUGGCUGAUGCAUUCUGUGAUUGAUUUGGCUAUUACAACUGGUAUUGAUUUUAAACACAUUAAUUGCAAAAUCUCAAUUGUGAUUUGAUUUCUGUAUUUACAAUACUAAAAACGAGGCUUUCGCCAGGAGAAGACAAUUGGCAGUACUCAGUUGGAAGUGCUUAAUUGUUAAUAUAUAUCAGCCGUGGUUCUUCAGCGUCGUCAGUGUUGCUCAGUCUUGCUCUUUGUGGCGACUACUGAAUGCUUGAAAAAUUCUCUCCUAUACUCCCACUCUGCACUGUAGAAGAGAAAGAGAGGAGAGUGGAAGAAAAAAGAGAGGGAGAGGAGAAAGAAAGAGAGGAGAGAGAAACAUGGGCAUGGAUGAUACAUAAGAUAAUUCCAGAAGAUUUCAGCAUAGCAGAUAAAAUACAGCAAAUCCUAACCAGCACAGGUUUGAGUGACAAACGGGCCGGUUCCAUGGACACAGGUGACUUCAUCAGGU
rnacentral:lncRNA from 1 species